rnacentral:rRNA from 1 species
AUUGAACGCUGGCGGCAUGCUUUACACAUGCAAGUCGAACGGUAACAGGGAGCUUGCUCCGCUGACGAGUGGCGAACGGGUGAGUAAUGCGUCGGAACGUGCCGAGUAGUGGGGGAUAACGCAGCGAAAGUUGUGCUAAUACCGCAUACGUACUGAGGUAGAAAGUGGGGGACCUUCGGGCCUUACGCUAUUCGAGCGGCCGACGUCUGAUUAGCUAGUUGGUGAGGUAAAGGCUCACCAAGGCGACGAUCAGUAGCGGGUCUGAGAGGAUGAUCCGCCACACUGGGACUGAGACACGGCCCAGGCUCCUACGGGAGGCAGCAGUGGGGAAUUUUGGACAAUGGGCGCAAGCCUGAUCCAGCCAUGCCGCGUGUCUGAAGAAGGCCUUCGGGUUGUAAAGGACUUUUGUCCGGGAGCAAAUGCUGGUGGCUAACAUCCACCGGAGCUGAGAGUACCGGAAGAAUAAGCACCGGCUAACUACGUGCCAGCAGCCGCCGUAAGAC